rnacentral:rRNA from 1 species
UUAUCGGAGAGUUUGAUCCUGGCUCAGGACGAACGCUGGCGGCGUGCCUAAUACAUGCAAGUCGAGCGGACAUCAGGGAGCUUGCUCCCUGAUGUUAGCGGCGGACGGGUGAGUAACACGUGGGUAACCUGCCUGUAAGACUGGG